rnacentral:lncRNA from 1 species
GGAAACCACAGCUUGGAGGUGAUGUAAUUCCUGCUCGGUGUGGUUGUUUAUGCUAGCACAUGAGGAAGGGAAAGCAAAACUUCAGCCCUGCUUUUGCUCUCUGAGGAUUUCUGUGCUGUUUCAGACUCCCUGAGGUCAAGGCAGGGUGUGAAUCUGAAGCACGGCGGCUCUGCUGGAACAGCUCCCUGUACGGACCAGCCCUUUGCUGAGUAAUGUGCAAAAAGCCGACAUGGAUUUUGGAGAAAUCGGUUGAUUCUGCCCAUUGAUGAUUAAAACAUCGCCUGGAAUUUUGGAAUGGAUCAGAUGCGUCAGUCAAAUGUUACCACAUUGCACCCAGAGAGAGGAAUGCCAUCCAGUUGGGGGAAUUGGGCUCUAGGACUUAACACUAUGGCUUAUGGAGAUGCUUCUUGUGUCUGGAGGAGAGCCACUUCCAAGCGAUGCACCCGAGACAUGACAAUCAGUAGGUUAAGAAUCCAUGCUCUUCCUAAAAUACUUUCCAUCAAGUGCACAGAUCCUUUGAAUGUCUUAAGGGGAAAGUUCAAUAGCAGAGAAUUAAUGAGAGGAGAGCCCUCCCUGUCUUUGCUGCAGUACCUUGUGAGAUGUGUGAUACUGCUUCUCCCUCCUGUAGCGUCAGAUGUAACACUUUUUUAUCUGAAGUAACUGUAAAAGAAACAGGAGGAAGGUAUGGGAAAUCCUGGGGCUGGAUGGGAAAAGAGGCAGGAAAUGUUAAUGAAUGCAGCCAUGCCGAUGUCUUUCUUGGAGAAGGAGAAACAGGCUAGCAGCCCUUGCUUUACACUUGCUUAAAGAUUUAGCUGUCCCACCGUGAAUAUAAGUUUCAGUCCCUAGUUGCGUGACCUGUAGGUGCCUGAUCUCACUGUCAUCUUCUGUAUUAUCUAUGUUCAAGCUAGUCUCUAAUGCCCAUUCCCAUAGCAUCUAAGUGCGUCUAGAUAAAAGCUGUAAAAGUGCAGUGGAGAGCCUGUGCAUGACAUGAAAUAGCGUAACAGGGGAAAGGAUUAGGACGGAGAUACUGCAUUGAGGGGACAGGUACAGUUUCUGUGCCUAGAGAAAUCUGCGUGCCUAACUCUAUGGAGACUUCAGCCUCCUGGUGCUGC